rnacentral:misc_RNA from 1 species
GCAAACUUGGUCAUUUAGAGGAAGUAAAAGUCGUAACAAGGUUUCCGUAGGUGAACCUGCGGAAGGAUCAUUAACGAGUUAGGGUCUCUCGCGGCCCGACCUCCCAACCCUUUGUCUACUUGACCACUGUUGCUUCGGCGAGCCCGUCUGCUAUGGACCGCCGGGGGGUUUCCUUAAUCGGCCCUCUGGUCAGCGCUCGUCGAUGGCCAAACUUUUUAAAAUCUUAACUAAACGUGUCUCAAUCUAAGUAUUAUUUGUUAAAUAAAAGCAAAACUUUCAACAACGGAUCUCUUGGUUCUGGCAUCGAUGAAGAACGCAGC